AUGCUGAGAUACGACUUGGAAGACCAGCUCACGGUCAUCUACACUGACGAGGAGGCAUACUGGCGCUUGCGGGGUACGCGGAACUGGGUCCUCAAGGGGGACGCUAAUACUGCCUACUUCCAGGCUAUUGCUAAUGGCCAUAUACGCCGUAACUCCAUCCCCCUCCUGUGGGAUGCACCGACCCUCCUACAGCGGCCUGAGGACAUCCGGGCACAUGUCGACGGCUUCUACAGAGACCUAUUCUCUACCUCCCCUCGGGGAGGUCUUGCACUAGCGCAAGACAUUUGGCCUGUCCACUGUUGUGUCUCGCCUGCGGAUAACGCGGCCCUCACGACCCUCACGACCCCGUUCUCGGAGGCGGAAGUGUGGGAGGCAAUUAAGGGCAUGAACCCUUCCUCGGCUCCCGGCCCGGAUGGCCUCCCAGUGAAGUUCUUCCAGACCUUCUGGGAAGUGAUCAAACCUGAGGUGAUGGCCCUAUUUGACGAGUUCCUGGUUGGGUCCAUUGACCUCGCCCGGCUAAACUAUGGGGUAAUCACUCUCAUCCCUAAAGUGACGGGAGCCUCAGACAUCCGUCAAUUUCGACCGAUUACGGUGAUUAAUGUCAUCUUCCGCAUCCUCGCGAAGGGGUAUGCCAUUAGGGUGGCCCCUAUUGCCGACCGGAUCACUCAUCCUGACCAGUCGGCCUUCAUCCAGGGCUGCUAUAUCCUUGAUGGAGUCUUGGUGUUCCACGAAGCUCUCCAUGAGGUGCACGUCAAACAACUCAAGGUAGUCUUCCUGAAACUAGAUUUCCACAAGGCCUAUGACACUGUCAGCUGGACCUUCCUUCGGGAAUGUCUGCUCCGUAAGGGCUUCAACGAUAGGUGGGUGACCAGAGUGAUGCAGAUGGUGUCAUCAGGCCGCAUCGCGGUGAACAUUAAUGGGGAGAUCAGCCCAUUCUUCCCCACAUUUUGUGGGGUGCGCUAG
rnacentral:rRNA from 1 species